GCAAAACGCGAAGAACCUUACCUACUCUUGACAUCCAGAGAACUUAGCAGAGAUGCUUUGGUGCCUUCGGGAACUCUGAGACAGGUGCUGCAUGGCUGUCGUCAGCUCGUGUUGUGAAAUGUUGGGUUAAGUCCCGCAACGAGCGCAACCCUUAUCCUUUGUUGCCAGCGGUCCGGCCGGGAACUCAAAGGAGACUGCCAGUGAUAAACUGGAGGAAGGUGGGGAUGACGUCAAGUCAUCAUGGCCCUUACGAGUAGGGCUACACACGUGCUACAAUGGCGCAUACAAAGAGAAGCGACCUCGCGAGAGCAAGCGGACCUCAUAAAGUGCGUCGUAGUCCGGAUUGGAGUCUGCAACUCGACUCCAUGAAGUCGGAAUCGCUAGUAAUCGUGGAUCAGAAUGCCACGGUGAAUACGUUCCCGGGUCUUGUACACACCG
rnacentral:rRNA from 1 species